AUCGCUUGUAAUAUAGAGGAAAGUCCGGGCAGCACAGAGCAUGAUAGUUGUUAACGACAACCGUUCGAAAAACUAUAAGGCUUCGGCUGAAAAAGUAUAAGAAUAGGGAAAGUACCACAGAAACGAUACCGCCCGCAAGGGUAAGGGUGAAAGGAGUGGGGUAAGAGCCCACAGCGCUAGAUGGUGACAUCUGGCGGAGGCAAACCCUAUCAGCUGCAAGGAGUGCUACGUACCUUUGCUCGAGGAUGCACGCUCACCGCUUGAACACCUUGGUAACAAUGUGUCUAGAUAGAUGAUCGUCAGUCCGCCUAAAGAGCCUGUCGAUAUGGUUUUAUUGUUGAGACAGACCCCUCAGACAACGGAUCACAAAACCCGGCUUACUGACA
rnacentral:RNase_P_RNA from 1 species